CACGUAGGGCGCAAGCGUUGUCCGGAAUUAUUGGGCGUAAAGAGCUCGUAGGCGGUUUGUCGCGUCGAAUGUGAAAACCCGGGGCUCAACCCCGGGCCUGCAUUCGAUACGGGCAGACUAGAGUUCGGUAGGGGAGUCUGGAAUUCCUGGUGUAGCGGUGAAAUGCGCAGAUAUCAGGAGGAACACCGGUGGCGAAGGCGGGACUCUGGGCCGAUACUGACGCUGAGGAGCGAAAGCGUGGGGAGCGAACAGG
rnacentral:rRNA from 1 species